rnacentral:rRNA from 1 species
GAUGAACGCUGGCUACAGGCUUAACACAUGCAAGUCGCGGGGCAGCAUGGGGGUUGCUUGCAAUCCCCGAUGGCGACCGGCGCACGGGUGAGUAACGCGUAUCCAACCUGCCCUUCACCACGGGAUAACCCGGCGAAAGUCGGACUAAUACCGUAUGUUGUCCAUUGACGGCAUCCGAUUUGGACGAAAGGUUUGGCGGUGAAGGAUGGGGAUGCGUCCGAUUAGCUGGACGGCGGGGUGACGGCCCACCGUGGCGACGAUCGGUAGGGGUUCUGAGAGGAAGGUCCCCCACACUGGAACUGAGACACGGUCCAGACUCCUACGGGAGGCAGCAGUGAGGAAUAUUGGUCAAUGGGCGUAAGCCUGAACCAGCCAAGUAGCGUGCAGGAUGACGGCCCUAUGGGUUGUAAACUGCUUUUAUGCGGGGAUAAAGUGGCCCACGUGUGGGUUUUUGCAGGUACCGCAUGAAUAAGGACCGGCUAAUUCCGUG